rnacentral:snRNA from 1 species
AUACUUACCUGGCAGAGGAGACACCGUGAUCAGGGAGCUGCUUCACCCUGGCUGUGAUGGACUGCAUCAUUUCUGGAAGUGGGGGGGGGGGGGGGGGGACUGUGUUCGAGCUCUCCCCUG